rnacentral:rRNA from 1 species
AAAGUGGAGCAAUCCAUGAGUAGAGUGGCGAACGGGUGAGUAACACGUGGGUGACCUACCUUCGAAUGGGGGAUAACGUCCCGAAAGGGACGCUAAUACCGCAUAACAUCCUGUCCUUGAACGGAUGGUGAUCAAAGCCGGGGAUCGCAAGACCUGGCGUUUGAAGAGGGGCCCGCGUCCGAUUAGCUAGUUGGUGAGGUAACGGCUCACCAAGGCGACGAUCGGUAACCGGCCUGAGAGGGCGGACGGUCACACUGGGACUGAGACACGGCCCAGACUCCUACGGGAGGCAGCAGUGGGGAAUUGUUCACAAUGGGCGCAAGCCUGAUGACGCAACGCCGCGUGGAGGAUGAAGGUCUUCGGAUUGUAAACUCCUGUUGCUCGGGACGAAAAGCUUUGACCUAACACGUCAAAGUCUGACGGUACCGAGUGAGGAAGCCCCGGCUAACUCUGUGCCAGCAGCCGCGGUAAUACAGAGGGGGCAAGCGUUGUUCGGAAUUACUGGGCGUAAAGGGCGCGUAGGUGGCCUUCUAAGUUGAACGUGAAAUCCCUGGGCUCAACCCAGGAACUGCGUCCAAGACUGGGAGGCUUGAAUCCGGGAGAGGGAUGCGGAAUUCCAGGUGUAGCGGUGAAAUGCGUAGAUAUCUGGAGGAACACCGGUGGCGAAGGCGGCAUCCUGGACCGGCAUUGACACUGAGGCGCGAAAGCCAGGGGAGCAAACGGGAUUAGAUACCCCGGUAGUCCUGGCCCUAAACGAUGAAUGCUUGGUGUGGCGGGUAUCGAUCCCUGCCGUGCCGAAGCUAACGCAUUAAGCAUUCCGCCUGGGGAGUACGGUCGCAAGGCUG